rnacentral:lncRNA from 1 species
UCGGCCGCCGUUGUCAUCGCUGGCAUUAGCCCACGAAGCUCCUUCUGCUCUAACCAUCCUUCAUGCACAUCCGCCAUUGGAUCAGCUCUCAAAACAUCGAUGGGUGAUUCAACGGUAGUUGUACACCCAUGAUUGAGGAAGCAUCCCAACCAAACUCCUCUUCUCCCCCGAUUUCAUCGAGAUCGGGGCCAUGGGAGUUCGAAAUAGCCUA